GCGACCGUAGUCUAGUGGUUAUGAUUCUACCUUGCCAAGGUAGGGGCUUGGGUUCAAUUCCCAGCGGUCGCA
rnacentral:tRNA from 1 species